CUCACGAGACCCCGAACUCCCCAGGCAAGGACUGACCUGGAGACGUGUGCAUCCCAUCAGCAUCCAGGACCGAGCUGGAGCACAGAGAUGUUAUGGAUACACAUCACCAUGGCAACCCAUUGGCAGGACUCCUCCCAGGGCCUGAAAUGUGAGAGUCUCUGAAGCUUAAGCAUUCGUGGUCUCCAGAUCUGCAAAAACUUCGUCACAGACUGUCACCAAUGUGCAAACCUGAAUCUGGCCAACAUUACUGAAAUCUGGCAACAACACGAACUCAAAAACCACUGUAAAAAGAGUUCAGACCUGAGAGAAGAGAUGGCAAGUUUCCACGCAAGGUUUUCUCUGAUGUGGACACAAAUGGAAGCAACAGGAGAGAAGGAUGAGAUGAAGAUGGGAGCUCCCGCUGAGUGGCUUCCCUGAGCAGAUCCUCCAUGGGAAUCACUGGGUGGGGAGAUGGUGGAGUGCUGCCUGAGUGACAGGGGCUGCCCUUCCUGGCCUGGCAUGGAUGGGGACACUGAUGAUCAGGAUGGACAGGGAAUGACCAUAACAGUUUGGGUGAG